CAAUAGUUUAUUAAAAAAACUGAAGGAAACGAGAAGACCCUCCCGCCGCUUGCGCCCCUCCCUCCCCUGGCGGCGGCGACUGUCCGGUCCGGCCGCCAUGUCGACCUGCGGCUACCACUCCCCGCGGUUCUCCGAGGAUAUUGCUUGGCUCCCGCCUUGGCUUCAGCCUCAUCGGCCGCCGCCGGUCGGCGAACACCGGACUCACAGUACAGGCGUUUCAUCGCCUUCUUGUCAGAACUGUGUGUUUAUUGGAGAUCCUGCACAGGAGCGUCAGAAUGCCAGGGUGAAUGCUGCUGGUUACAGUGGGUUCAUCUUGCGCUUGUCAGGAGAUGAGGAGAUGGCUGGAAUUACACCAAUCAGCAGCAAUGCACUACCUUUCUCUUUGCGCCUUUCUUCAGAAAGUACUGCAGAACCCUCCCCAGCUGAAAGCAAUACUAAUACUCAGAUGCAAAACUCUGGUACGCUCAAAGGUCCAUCAGAGGACUUUUUUGCAGAUGGUCAAAAGCAAGAGGUCAAUGCUGUAUCUCAGAAUCAGUUCGAGGGUAAAGAUCCUCAAGCUGAUAGUCCGACAGAAGUCUUUAAAGUGACUAGCAAGGCAAUCCGUAAACCACUUGAUGCAAACAGACAUAAAAGACAUGAUGUCUCUGGAGGAAAGGUUGACAUUCGGAGGCUCCGUAAUGCUGAUGUAAAUGAUGCGAUUGAACUAUCUAUUGCUGCAUCUGAGGCCAUGGUUAUCGCAGAGAUGAUACUUGAUGAUUCUCAGUCUGAUAAAUUGGCUGCAGCCGCCAUAGAAGCUGCUCUACAUGUGAAAGAAGCCCGGAAACAAUUUUACUUUGAGGAGACAGAACAUGCUUGUGGAUCCUCAGGAAAUGAUCUUGACGAGACUGAUUGGCUCACAGAAUUAGAUGAUGCUGAAAUGGUUGGUGUAUUUCAAGAUAUUGGCCUGUCUCUUGUUCAUACGGUUCGUCCAUCUCAAGACCAGAACACAGGUGUUUUGAAGCAACAAAACUCCCAUCCUAAUUAUCCCCCAUGUGAUGCAGAUGCACACAUCUUAGCGAGUUGUUCAUCUGAGAAGCAAAAUAAAAGAUGCAAUAGCCAAAAUGCUGAUAGUGAUGACCAUGUAUCUGAUUCUUUCCCAACUAAUCAGUCAGCUGAUGUGCUACCAAAUGAACCAACUCCAUGCUCAGAUUCUCUAAAGCAAGCAGUUCUAGGUAAAACAUUUUCAUGCUCAAGAAAUAAGAAAACUGGCCUCCAGGCGUCAACUGAAAACAAUGCUGCUAUGCAUGGAGCCUCGGGGGCUCUAGUAACAUAUCAAAAUAUUCAUAAGGAUGUUGGGAGAGUUUCUGCACAGAUGAAUGUUGGUACAAAGAAGCAUGUAAAGGGUUUGUUUGAGGAAGAAACUAGCUUUAUUUCUGAGUCAAUUAGCAUUGAUGAGUGCUGUCCUACAUCUAGAGCAUCAUCAAUGGAAAUUGCAGCAUCUUCAAGAGCAUCUUUUUAUUGCAGAACUGAAGGUUCCUGUGAAGAAAAUCAUGGUGCUGAAACUGAAGAGGUGUGUUGUCAAGUAGUAUGUUCGAGCAUGUCGCAUGUGGAUCCUCUAUGUUCCAUUGUUCCAUGCAGCAUAUCUUGCGAUGAAGGUCCCAGUGACCAGGCUCCUGUGUGCAAAAAGAGUGAAGGCUAUGAAAGUCCCACUUGUCUGGCUCCUGAAAGAGAACUUGGUAAAGGAGAAGAAAAAGGAUUUAUGCAUCCUAGGAUGCAAGACCUGGAUGGAGAGGCUGGUCCAUCUUGCACGCCUUUAGUUAAAUCACUUGAGCCUGAUGUUCCAUUCAGGCGAAGGAUAUAUAGUUCACUGAGGCCUUUUAGCACAAUAUCACCUAAGUCAAACAUAUUGGGAAGUACUUCAAAUUUUGAUGCUCAUUUGACAGUUUAUCGGCAGGAGAAAUUCACACCCAUUACUUUAAAUAAAAAUAUACAGCAAGUGCAAGCAGCUAAGCAAUUCAUAGAAAAUAAUGUCAAAACUGAAAGUUUGCAAUACUUUUCUAAGGUUAAGAAGAAGCCAUAUUAUCCUCAGGAUGACAAUGAGGAUCAAAUCAGAGAGCAACAGGUCUGUCGAUCAGCAGUGAAUUUGAAUGCUGGUAAACAAUGCCUUAAAAGAAAAAGGGUCCAAUUUUCGGAAGCAAAACUUAGUAGCAGAAGGACCAAGAGCAAUAGAAGGGUGCCUGCUAAAUCCAGAUUCAGUCGAUCAGAUAGUAGAAGAGAAGAGACACUUGAGACCAGAGAGGACAUUGAUAAUAGAGAAGCCACAUUUCAAGGAGUUGAGUUUAUGUUGACUGGGUUUCCUAAUCAGAAGGAAAAAGAGAUUGAGUCUCUAAUACGAAAAUGUGGAGGCUAUGUUCUUUCUAAAGUUCCACCCUUUUCACUUGAUAAACGAAAGAACAUGGAUGAGUUUCCAAGCUGGAAGCCUCCCAUUGUACUUUCCCCUAAAAAGGUAUCAACAGCUAAGUUCUUAUAUGGCUGUGCUAUCGAUGCCUGGAUGUUGAAUCCCAAUUGGUUCUUUGAUUCUCUUCAAGCUGGUGUCCUGUUGCCACCUGGAAAGUAUUUAAUUCGACAAAGGAAUGCUCAGAAGCAUACUUCAGCAUUUGGCCAUUCAUUCCAACCAAAAUGCAGCACAUUGAUAUUUGAUGGAGUAGGAUUCUUGAUCCACGGCAAAAUCAGCUUCUGUUCAAAAUUUUCCAACAUUAUAAAGCAUGGAGGUGGGCAAGUUUUUGUAUCUCUUCAGGGAUUAGUUCAAAGCUUGAAGGAGGGAAGUACAUCACAUGGAAUCAUUCUUGUUGCAAGUCAAGCUAGUGCAUCUCGUCAUCUAAGCCAUUGCGGCUUGGAACAUGGCAUAAAGACAGCGCCAGCAAGCUGGAUCAUAGGCAGUUUAUUUUCAGGUAAACUGAUCCCUUUGAAGAAAGAUCGCUGUGCUUCAUUCCGUCGAAUUAAGAUGCCAUCGUUCCAUCAACAGCAUGUAUAUGACAUGAGUCAAGAACUAUGACUGCAGAUAAAAUUGUGACAAUUACAUGGGCACGUGGAAUAGUUGUGACCGAGACACGGCUGAAAUGAGUAGAGCUGAAAACAGAGCAUUCAUCAAUCAUGACAUCGCGUGCUACUGCCCACAUUACAGAUGAGAAAUGUUAACUACUGCUGAAUGCGAGUAGUGCGAAAUACUCAUCAUGCAUGUAACUUGUCCAUUCCGAGGCUUAAAUUUCUGUAAAGCGCGAUAUUGUUCAUGCCGUACUAAUCGGCAAGGAAGCAAAAUUGGCGGGGUCCAUUCCAGAAUCAGAUACAUGCUGUAUGUUGUAACCUGUAUGUUUUGAAUACAGAUGCCAGAGAGAA